rnacentral:lncRNA from 13 species
CUUACUUGGCACCAGUGCACCACUUCUGCUUCCUCUCCUUCAGAGAAGCCCCUGAAAGGUCUGACUGAAUCGCAUCUGCAUGAGUUUUACUUAGGUGGGUCCAAUCUUGAAUGCAAAACUGCUGAUUAGAAAGUUGGGUCAGGCCAGAGCAGGAAAAACUGACAAGUGUCUUCCCAUUAAAUAAUAUCACUUCUGUCUCAUUUCUCAGACUAACUCAGAAACGGGUCCUGGGAGGCAAGAGAACAGAGGAAGCAGAGCAGGACCUGGACAGAACAGAAAGGCCUGUGACCAGUGGCUUCAUGGAGCAUGGUUGGAGAGACUGCACAGCAGGGUCUCUGAGCUGAGCCAGGCUCUGCCUACACUCGGUUUCCCGUGGGAGAAGAUGAAUCUGCAGCAUCAGCCCCUGCCCGUCUCCCACAACCAGGGUGGCUAAGCCCUCAGAGCUCUGCGGGACAAUCCUUCUCUGCUGCUGCUGCUGCUGGAGCCUUCUCAGGGUGUCCUCUGUUGGCAGGCAGUCUUCGCACACAGGUGAGCAGAACUCACCAACAGUGAGAAAACUGGCUGUCGAGGCCGGGCGCGGUGGCUCAAGCCUAUAAUCCCAGCACUUUGGGAGGCUGAGACGGGUGGAUCACAAGGUCAAGAAAUCGAGACCAUCCUGGUCAACAUGGUGAAACCCCGUCUCUACUAAAAAUACAAAAAAUUAGCUGGAUAUGGUGGCGCGUGCCUGUAAUCCCAGCUACUCAGGAGGCUGAGGCAGGAGAAUUGCCUGAACCCA